rnacentral:rRNA from 1 species
UACAGAGGUCUCAAGCGUUGUUCGGAAUCACUGGGCGUAAAGGGUGCGUAGGCUGCACGGUAAGUCAGAGGUGAAAUCCCGGAGCUCAACUUCGGAAUUGCCUCCGAUACUGCCGUGCUUGAGGACUGGAGAGGAGAUUGGAAUUCACAGUGGAGCAGUGAAACGCGUAGAUAUUGUGAGGAACACGAGUGGCGAAGGCGAAUCUCUGGACAGUUCCUGACGCUGAGGCACGAAGGCCAGGGGAGCAAACGGG